UGUGUGUGUCCAUAAACAAACAAGCAAAAUAACAUUUCAACAAACUGACACAAAUAUAUUGCCAUCACCACAAGCAGGAGCAAGAAUAAGAUGGAAAUUUGACAAACACUCUGGGUCCUUCCGCAGUGGAUGGAGAUGUCAUGGGCCUUCCUCUUUAACAGGAGCAUUGGAAGUUUGUUCUACUCCAUGCACAGAAUCAGAUGGCUUGACAGUAAUCAUGGGAAAUUUGUUCUGAUCGUAUUAAAUGUGAUUAGUUAUUAAGAGAAUAAGCCAGGGUUAUUAAUAUUCAUAUUUCCAUUCUAAUUAUAGAAAGAUAAUUCAACUUAACUAUUAUGAGUCAGACCAAGUCUUUGUGAAUCAAGUAAAAAACAAACAAACAAACAAACAAAAAAAUAUUUUGAAUGUUUUCCAUCCAGUUCUGUGACUAGUAUCAUGUUUAAGGCUGAUAUAUUAACCUUCUCUGUUUGCAGACAGCUAUCUAAUUUUCUAAAUUAAUUUUUAUUUUUGUCGAGUGACUAGAUUCAGAUAUUAAAAUUACAGCCAUGUCGUGCUUUUAGUCUCUUUCUACAACCUGUUUGCCUGCCUUUUAAUGCAAAACGCGAAGUUACGGUCCCCAGUAAUUAUUUUUGCCAAAUAUGAGCAUAUUAUGCCCUCUGGUGGUUACUUGGGGUAGUGUAGGGUCUCUUGAAUUGAUGUGAUUUUCUUACUGAAAUCCCUAAUCCUUUAUGAAAUUAGUACUGGCUCUCUUAAUAAAUGAAAAUCCAUACAUAAAUGUUCUUUCAAGCAGAGUAAUUUUAAUGCAGUUUCAACCAACAAAAUUUGAAAUAAAAAAAUUAUGCUCUCUCUCAGUGACCUAAUGCAGUAGGCUAAAACAUGCAAAGUAAUUGGCUUGAUCAGAGUAACUCUCAAGAAAAAAACAAUAAAAUAAAUUUUAAGCUGUAACAUUUUAGAGAAAUAUAAGCUGCGAGAUAAGCCUCUACAAGACACAGUUGGAAAAGGAGCUAAAGUAAGAAAGUUGUAAAGUUAGAAGUUGUACUCAAGUCUUUUUCAUAGCGCUUGCUUUUGUAGUUGAGUCUGGGUAAAUCAGGAAGCCAGAGAAGGUGCUAUCGUCCUCGCUGCUGGAGUAAAUCCCAUUCCAGUCUCUCAGGGUCUCCAGCCACACCUGAUCUCCCUCGCUGAGCUGCAUCAGGACAAGGUUGGAAGCCUGGUCGAUGUCCUGGCCGUAAAGGGAGUCUCGUGUCCUCACUUUCCGCACCCCAUUAACCACCAAGGCAACCCGCAGGGGCCGGUUGCGCACAGUGAUGUGAUAAGUGAGCAGUCCGGGUGGAGGAAAGGACCGACUUGGGAACAAACCCACACUGAAAGCAGAACGAACCGGCUCCAAACUCUCACCUGGAUCGCCUUUUGGGCCCCGAGGGCCCCGUGCACCUUUAACUCCCCUCUCCCCCCUCAUUCCUGCUACUCCCCUUGCACCUGGAGGCCCUCUUGCGCCAGUGUCUCCCUUCUCUCCUGCUGGCCCCAUUUCGCCUUUUGAACCAUCACUGCUACUUGGUCCUUGAGGACCCAUCUCACCUUUUGGACCAGGAGGCCCAGGAUCACCAAGAUCACCUUUCUGUCCUCUCUCACCAAGUAGACAUUCUCCCAAACGUCCCUGUUCACCUUUCUGACCCUUUGUCCCAGCUGUCCCUGGAGGACCCAUAGGUCCAAUGGUGCCCAUAGUUCCAUUGUGACCAGGCUCUCCUUUUUCUCCUGCGUCUCCUUUCAGCCCAUUGAUCCCAUUUUCACCUUUCUCUCCUUUGAGACCCAACUCACCUACAGCAUGUGAAGAGUUUAUGUAAAAAAAAAAAAAAAAAAAGGAGAGAAAUUAUAAAAGGUUUUGAAUCAUGAGAUGCAGUUUAACCAUUUACAGGUAUGUUUGUCCAUUUUCAUUUUAAAUAUUGUGGCAUAAAAGUAGGGAACACAUCAAUGUUUUUCUCCAAAAUGUAUCUUUAAUGUUGCUACUAACAUGAAAUUCACACCAUGUCGACAAGAACCCGAACUAUCUACAUAUACAAAUGGUUCAGAAACCUUCACUGUAUAAAUGAUGUGUAAUUUAAAGUGCCCAAUUAACCUGGCAGUCAUGUUUUUGGACUAUGGGAGGAAGCCACAGGACCUGGAGAGAAACAUGCACAACUACCUCCAAGAUUAUGAUCCAAAACAUAGAGGAAGCAAAGGAGAAAAAAGCAAAUAAGUAAACUAAAAUUCAGUCAGUCAUCCGACUUAAACCCAUUUUUUUUUUUUUUUAAUAUUAAAAAAUCAAUGGAAAUACGUGAAAAUCAGAGAGCAUAGAUGCCUUAGUAAUCUCCUUAGGAUCUCCAGACAGUUUGUGUGAAAGAUUGGAUCACAUUUACAACUGAGUAGUCAGUCCUGUAAACAAAGGUUAUUCUAAUCUUCUAAUAUAACAUAGUACCAAAUAUGUGAAGUGGAAGAAUAAUGAUGCCAGGCUUUCCUAAUCGCCUAUUAAAGUUCAGUAAUCAUGUUUAA